rnacentral:snoRNA from 1 species
UCUGAUCCAUGAUGAGCUUCCAAACAAUGUGGACUGCUGGAUGAAGUUUGCGGAUAUGGGACUGAGAUCUUGU